UACAGAGGUCUCAAGCGUUGUUCGGAUUCAUUGGGCGUAAAGAGUGUGUAGGCGGUGCUCUAAGUUCGGUGUGAAAUCUCCUGGCUCAACUGGGAGGGUGCGCCGGAAACUGGAGUGCUUGAGCGUGGGAGAGGAAAGCGGAAUUCCUGGUGUAGCGGUGAAAUGCGUAGAUAUCAAGAGGAACACCAACGGCGAAGGCAGCUAGCUGGACGAGAUCCGACGCUCAGGCUCGAAAGUAUGGGGGAGCAAAAAGG
rnacentral:rRNA from 1 species